rnacentral:tRNA from 1 species
UCCCCGGUGGCUCAGACGGUAAAGCGUCUGCCUGCAAUGCAGGAGACCCAGGUUCCAUCCCUGGGUCAGGAA